UUGGAUGGAGAAGGGAAAAGCAGUUCUAGAACAGCAACUUCUGCCUGAAACAUAAUUUAAGGUAUUAGCCAUUUUGUCUCAUCUAAGAUGUCCAGAAUUUUAGUACCUGAGAUGCUUAUUUUAACUUCCUCCUUUGAAGAUUAUGACCAAGAAAUCAGAUAUGGCAUGGCUGUUUUUUAAAGAGAAAUUCUCUGAGUGCCUACUCUGUGUAUGAUGUGUGGUGGCUUUCAUUAAAAGGUUGCAUCUGAGCAGCAGGGCACCAGGGCUGCACUUGCCCUUUUUGGCUUCUCUUUGUAAAAUCAGAUAAACCCAUGGGGACGAAACUGACUGCUCUGAGACCUGAGGGUUCAGCGGGGGGAUGGAGAACAUGGGGAGACCACGACACAUUACAGCAGUUACAGAGCCCUAUCUGUGGCAAAGAGCAAGCCACAGCCAAGCCUCAGAGGUGCUGAAAGAACAAACAGAUGUCCUCAAGAGCUAGCAAAGACUCUGUACACUUUAUUAUAAAGCCAUCAGGCUGCUGGAAGUUGUUAGUGAGAGCAGAAACAAAAAGGUAUGGACACUGCCGGGUUACUAUGGGUGGAAUGAAAGAUGGUGUUUGGGAUGCUUGGUUUUGGCGACUCAUCAUGUUUUUAAAGUUUGUCCUUACAUAGUUUUUAAAACUUCCAAUAGUGUUAAAAAUUAUUUUAAUAGGCAAUUUUUAGUGCUUCUGGAAGCAUACUGAGUCUGUAUUUGUGUAAUUAAAUUUAAACAUUGAAUUUGCAGUAACUUCAUAUAACACUCUUUGGCUCUUUGAUUGGCUUUAUUUUAACUAGCAAAACUUGCAAGUCAGAGAGCAACAAGACACUCUUUUUGAGUGUUGUGCUUCCAAAAGCUAGAAAGAAGAUGGUAAAGAGAAUCAGAAGAGCUAUGUCCUAAUGUGUCUAUCUCUACCCCCAAACCAGGUCCCACAUGUGCUGUCCAGGCCAUUUGAUUCUCUCUCUUGCUUGACCCAGGCCCUUAGUCCCCAGACCUUCCAGGUUACCAUUACAAAACCUCUCCCAGUCCAGAAGUUGUACCACUUGUAUCACUUGCCCUCCAACCCUUCUUCCAAAUCCCAGUUUAAGUCUGUCCCAGCUCCUAGACUGAUAGCAGCUCCACCACUGCUGCCCACCAAUAUACCCCUCGCCCUCUGCUGAUGUCCCCCAUUGCCAGGUUCUGCAGGGACCUGAGCCUCUACCAGCUCAAAGCUGAGCUGCUCUGACAGCCUGUGCCCAGGAGAGACUCUGGAAACUAAAGAUUGGUGACCAUCUGCAAAUAUGCUUGUGCUUUUCUGCAUCCAGAAACCUGUGCAUUUGCCACCUGCAUUUGCAAAGCCUAAGUCCUUCAGCUGUCAUAACUCCAUCUCACCUUACUCAUUUGACAUAUUAACUGAACUCAUUAAUGGAGAAGAGAUCUGAGUCAGCUGGAUUUCACUCAAACUGGAUUACUUCAUAGGGACAUACAAUCCAUCAGACAGGAUAAAGCAAACACUCUGUUGGGUCAUAGUCUUCCUGCAGCCCAGUCCAUUUAAAAUCCUGUGUGAGAUCACUGCAGUCUCUAAGCAGAUUACACACUUACCAUUGCAACAUGGGCAAAUGUGUCAGGAGCAAAAGGUUUGCAUCUAGGAACAGAAGGUUGGCUGUUCUCACCCUGGGCAGUCCUGCUCCUGCUGGUGCUGCCAGACCGUGCCUGCCUGAGGCAUUUUGAGUGUCCCUGACCUGA